rnacentral:misc_RNA from 1 species
GUUUUGAUGUCUACCUCUAAUUGCCUUAUCUCAUUUUAAAAAAAAAUUCCAUACACUAUUCUCAAAGAGACUAUAAGAGAUCUAAUAGAGUAUAUAACCACAAGCACACUUAACUGUUUGAAUCCUACAUAAUUCUCAAACUACAAGAAAUAUGGUAAAUAAUAAAGGUUGCUAUUCAAUAAAUGGACCCAAUGGGCAGCUUGGCUUGUGAUUGGGUUGGGAGAAACGUUAUUUGCUCUGCUACUGCUGGUACAAGAC